rnacentral:rRNA from 1 species
UACGGAGGGAGCUAGCGUUGUUCGGAAUUACUGGGCGUAAAGCGCACGUAGGCGGCUACUCAAGUCAGAGGUGAAAGCCCGGGGCUCAACCCCGGAACUGCCUUUGAAACCUAGGUAGCUAGAAUCUUGGAGAGGUCAGUGGAAUUCCGAGUGUAGAGGUGAAAUUCGUAGAUAUUGGGAAGAACACCGGUGGCGAAGGCGGCGCUCUGGACCGAGACUGACGCUGAGGCGCGAAAGCGUGGGGAGCAAACAGGG